CCCCCCCCCCAAUUCAAUUAAUUUUAAGGGGGAAAGACCCCCAACAAUUGCUUUUUUAAAGCAAUUGAUUUAUAUUUAUUAUUAUUAUUAUUAUUUUUUUUUUUUUUCCGCCAAAUUUUGUUCUUGCGAUAAAUGUUUGUUUCGCAAUAUGUCGCUUAGAUAUUUCUCAUAUUGUAUCGUAUAGUUUAUGCGCUUUUAAAUUUCACCCUGCUAAGACGAACAAUUUUCUCUGUAAGAGUUAUCUCCCUAUUCACUGUUUAUCAUGUGUGUGCAUCUCCUUCGUAACAAAAAAAGAU
rnacentral:lncRNA from 1 species